GACGAACGCUGGCGGCGUGCUUAACACAUGCAAGUCGAACGGAAAGGCCCUGCUUUUGUGGGGUGCUCGAGUGGCGAACGGGUGAGUAACACGUGAGUAACCUGCCCUUGACUUUGGGAUAACUUCAGGAAACUGGGGCUAAUACCGGAUAGGAGCUCCUGCUGCAUGGUGGGGGUUGGAAAGUUUCGGCGGUUGGGGAUGGACUCGCGGCUUAUCAGCUUGUUGGUGGGGUAGUGGCUUACCAAGGCUUUGACGGGUAGCCGGCCUGAGGGGGUGACCGGCCACAUUGGGACUGGGAUACGGCCCAGCACCCUACGGGAGGAAGCCGUUGGGAAUAUUGCACAAUGGGGCGAAGACUGAUGGAGCAACGCCGCGUGGGGGAUGACGGCCUUCGGGUUGUAAACCGCUUUCGCCUGUGACGAAGCGUGAGUGAAGGUAAUGGGUAAAGAAGCACCGGCUAAAUACGUG
rnacentral:rRNA from 1 species